CCAGGGAUUCUAGGCCUGGAUCUGGUACCUACUAGUAUUUGGUUCCUGGCACGAGGUUUGUCACCUGGUAUGCGCUGAGCCGGGUGACUGUGAAGCCAGCCCCACUGUCCACCACACUCACCAGCUCCCUGCGCCCACGGCAGGAAGGCACUACGAAGCUAGAUUUCACCACUGGGCAGGAAAUCAGGGGCUCACUCUGGAGGACAUGGGGUCACCUCUAUGGGGAGGUCCACCUGUCCACGUGACAAGGGAUUGAGGCCUCCUGCCAACAUCCAGCAUGGAACUGAGGCCCCCACACAACAGCCAUGAGAAUGAGCAAGACUGGAAGCAGAUCCUCCAGCCCAAGUCAAGCCUUCAGGUUUUCAAGACUCAUGAUGAUAUGACCCCAUCUCACCUACAAAAGCAUGUGUCUUCUUACUUCUCAAUGUGACACAGAUUAGUAUCAACCAGGAGAACAUUUGUUUUAGGGUUUUGUCUUCAUUUCUGCCUGUUAAAGAUUUUUAUUAUUAUCUUAUAUGAAAAUACAGUGUCAUGUCUCACUCAUAUAAGCCUGGAGGGUUAGUAAACACUUUGAAGGACAAGAUGAGGAUUCCUAAAUCAUCUCCAUGCAUAGAAUAUCAGACCAACCUAACAAGAUGAAAUGAUCAGAGAUCCAUAUAAAACCUCAGCAAUGCAUAAUGGACCAGACAUGGCUUAGAAGCA